GAUGAACGCUGGCGGCGUGCCUAAUACAUGCAAGUCGAGCGAACGUACGAGAAGCUUGCUUCUCUGAUGUUAUCGGCGGACGGGUGAGUAACACUUGGAUAACCUACCUAUAAGACUGGGAUAACUUCGGGAAACCGGAGCUAAUACCGGAUAAUAUUUUGAACCGCAUGGUUCAAAAGUGAAAGACGGUCUUGCUGUCACUUAUAGAUGGAUCCGCGCUGCAUUAGCUAGUUGGUAAGGUAACGGCUUACCAAGGCAACGAUGCAUAGCCGACCUGAGAGGGUGAUCGGACACACUGGAACUGAGACACGGUCCAGACUCCUACGGGAGGCAGCAGUAGGGAAUCUUCCGCAAUGGGCGAAAGCCUGACGGAGCAACGCCGCGUGAGUGAUGAAGGUCUUCGGAUCGUAAAACUCUGUUAUUAGGGAAGAACAUAUGUGUAAGUAACUGUGCACAUCUUGACGGUACCUAAUCAGAAAGCCACGGCUAACUACGUG
rnacentral:rRNA from 1 species